ensembl:lncRNA
AUGAAUCCUGUGAGCUCUUUACUGGUCAAUGCACAUUUGUCAUCUCAUGCUGCAGAUUCCCCUCUUAGGCAUGAAUUAGUGGUGGGUCCUUCUUUAAGGAGCUCAAGUGAAAGUGUGAACACUUGUCACAAGUCAGCCCUCACUCUGGGGAAUCUUGAUCCAUCUAAUCUGGAGUCUUUUCAGUCUCUUUUGCAAUCCUCACAGAUUUCAGCUAGCUUGUACUGUUCAGUCCAGAGGCUUAAGCAAGAAAGUGCUUUGAUGGGGAUAUGGGGUUCCCUCCCUCUGGAGUCUGAAUCUUCUCCAGUCAUUGGCCAUUCAUGCUUUGCUCCUGAUGAUUUAGGUCCCAGUAUCCUGACCAUGGGAGAACAGCUAGCUGCAGUAAAAACCAGUGCUCCUCAGGCAAGAUUGAGAUGGAGUGUCCCAUUUGCUAAAGACUGGAGCCUUAGUGCAGUGACAAGAGACUUCAGUCUUGCUGAGCCUCUCUCUGGCUCUUACAGAUAUGGAUACAUUGGCUCUAACACAUGGAGAACCAAAAUUUCAGGGGGCAUUCAGCCACAAACCCUUGCCUCUGGAGUGGGCUCUGGCAGGCUAGUGGGUAGAGAAGCAGAUUUCUCCUUCCGUUGCUCCCCUUUCUUUAGAUGCCAGUCCCUGGUAAAGCCAUCCCUGGAAACUGGUAGUCUUUAUGUUCAAAGCCAAAGUAAUUCUCCUGGAAACGUUGUUAAAGGCAAACAGACAUCUAAUGGGGGGUCUCCAUGUGCUGAGUCUUGGAAGAAAAACCUUUCAGCCAGGCUGGAUCCAGAGGUUCUGCAGGUGUUACUGGAGACAGAUUUGGGGGGCGCUCAGAGGAAUGUUUGUGUAGCCAUGUGUGGGACUCCUGCAGAAGUGUGUGUGAGCAUCACUUCUCAUCCUGGAGAUAAAGAGUUUAGACCAGGCCAGCAGCUUAGUGUUAAAUCUGUAGAAGUCAGCAGCUCUCAUGUUAAGUGCAGCAAAGAGUCAGAAGAGGUGUGUCACUCCAGAUCACCAGCAGCCAGAAGAACAGCUGCAGUGGGCAGCAGCCAGUCCAGUCCUUUGGGUACACCAGUUGAAGAAGGUUUUAAUGAACAUUCUGAUGUAGAUUGUAUGAACAUGAGCAGAGAAGGAAGGAGAAACAAAUACUCCUACCAAAGCAGCCGGUGGAAUUUGGAAGCUGAUGGCAAUCUUGAGCAGUCUGAAGAAUAUUCUGUAGAAAGGAAUGCCAAAGAACCAUGGUGCUGUGAAGAAAGGAACCAGACACAGAAAACUCUGCCCAGAGAGGUGAGGGUGUGGUCACUGUGA